AUUGAACGCUGGAGGCAGGCUUAACACAUGCAAGUCGAGCGGGGUGAUGGUGCUUGCACUAUCACUUAGCGGCGGACGGGUGAGUAAUGCUUAGGAAUCUGCCUAUUAGUGGGGGACAACAUCUCGAAAGGGAUGCUAAUACCGCAUACGUCCUACGGGAGAAAGCAGGGGAUCACUUGUGACCUUGCGCUAAUAGAUGAGCCUAAGUCGGAUUAGCUAGUUGGUGGGGUAAAGGCCUACCAAGGCGACGAUCUGUAGGGGGUCUGAGAGGAUGAUCCGCCACACUGGGACUGAGACACGGCCCAGACUCCUACGGGAGGCAGCAGUGGGGAAUAUUGGACAAUGGGGGGAACCCUGAUCCAGCCAUGCCGCGUGUGUGAAGAAGGCCUUAUGGUUGUAAAGCACUUUAAGCGAGGAGGAGGCUCUUUUGGUUAAUACCCAAGAUGAGUGGACGUUACUCGCAGAAUAAGCACCGGCUAACUCUGUGCCAGCCGCCGCAGUAA
rnacentral:rRNA from 1 species